rnacentral:hammerhead_ribozyme from 1 species
AGGCGAAACACCCUUCGGGGUGUCCGGUCGAGGUGGUUCUCGAUCGCUGACGAUGCCAGCCUGCA